rnacentral:rRNA from 1 species
ACGGAAAGAGCUUGCUCUUUUCAGAAUUGAGUGGCAAACGGGUGAGUAACACGUAAACAACCUGCCUUCAGGAUGGGGACAACAGACGGAAACGACUGCUAAUACCGCAUAAGCGCACGGUAUCGCAUGAUACAGUGUGAAAAACUCCGGUGGUAUAAGAUGGACCCGCGUCUGAUUAGCUUGUUGGUGAGGUAACGGCCCACCAAGGCGACGAUCAGUAGCCGGCCUGAGAGGGUGAACGGCCACAUUGGGACUGAGACACGGCCCAAACUCC